rnacentral:rRNA from 1 species
AGGACGUGAUAGCCUGCGAAAAGCUUCGGGGAGCUGGCAAAUGAGCUUUGAUCCGGAGAUAUCCGAAUGGGGAAACCCACCGAAAGGUAUCGCACACUGAAUACAUAGGUGUGCGAGGCGAACCGGGACAACUGAAACAUCUAAGUAGCCCCAGGAAGAGAAAGAGACAUCGACUCCCUCAGUAGCGGCGAGCGAACGGGGAUCAGCCCAAACCAUCAGGCUUGCUUGAUGGGGUUGUGGGACCUCUGAGAGUUACAAAAGGCAGGUUAGCAGAACCAUCUGGAAGGGUGGGCCAUAGCGGGUGAUAGCCCCUUAUGCGAAAACCGAGCCUCUCGUUGAGGAGGAAUCCCGAGUAGGGCCAGUCACGUGGAACCUGGCUCGAAUCAGGGCGGACCACCGCCCAAGGCUAAGUAUCUUCCAGCGACCGAUAGCGUAAGAGUAGCGCGAGCGAAUAUUGAAAAGUACCCCUGUCAGGGGAGUGAAAUAGUACCUGAAACCGCAUGCCUACAAGCAGUUGGAGCCCUAUGUUUACAUGGGUGACAGCGUGCCUUUUGCAUAAUGAUCCGGCGACUUAAUGUAUACAGCGUCAGGUUAAGGCCUUAUGGGCCGAAGCCGUAGGGAAACCGAGUGCGAAACGCGCGACAUAGUUGUAUGCAUUAGACCCGAAUGCAGAUGAUCUAACCAUGGCCAGGGUGAAGCGAAUGUAAAAAUUCGUGGAGGCCCGAACUUGUGUGGGUUGAAAACCGCUGAGAUGAGCUGUGGUUAGGGGUAAAAGGUCAGUCAAAUCUGCGGAUAGCUGGUUCUCUCCGAAAUAGCUUUCGGGCUAGCCUUGGAGUAUAACCGUCGCGGGGGUAGAGCUACUGUAGAGGAUAGGGGGGCUUCCCGUCUACCCUACCUCAACAAACUCCGAAUACCGUUGACGCUGCUCCGGGAGUCAGUCUUUGGGGGAUAAGCUCCAUAGACAAAAGGGAAACAACCCAGAUCGCCGGCUAAGGCCCCAGAUUCAUGCUAAGUGCCAAAGGAAGUGGGAUUGCACUGACAGCUGGGAUGUUGGCUUAGAAGCAGCCACCAUUUAAAAAGUGCGUAAUAGCUUACCAGUCGAGCCGUCCUGCGCCGAUAAUUACCGGGACUAAGCAUGAAGCCGAAGCCGCGGACUUACAGAUCAUGUGAUCUGUAAUUGGUAGGAGAGCGUAGCACAUUAGGUUGAAGCGGAACCGACGAGGAUCCGUCGACGACGUGCUAGUGAUUAUGCCGGAAUGAGUAGCGAUAAAACGGGUGAGAAGCCCGUUCGUCGUAAAUCUAAGGUUUCCUGGGCAAGGUAAUUCCUCCCAGGGUCAGUCGGUCCCUAAGGCGAGACCGAAAGGUGUAGUCGAUGGGUAACAGGUUAAUAUUCCUGUACCGGUUGUAAACGAUCAAGACUCAGAGGGGGGACGGAGGAGGCUAAGCAGGCCGGCGGAAGCCGGUGAAAGCGCGUAGGUAGAGGAGCCAGGUAAAUCCGGUUUCUCGUUUAACUGAAACGCGAGACGAGCCCUAGUUGGCGAAGCUGUUAUGCCCGACUCUAUAUAAAAUCCUCGCUGAGAGUUUGCAACCGACCGUACCGCAAACCGACACAGGUAGGUGGGAUGAGUAUUCUAAGACGCUCGGAAGAACUGCUGUUAAGGAACUCGGCAAAUUGACCCCGUAACUUCGGGAUAAGGGGAGCCCUCCUUGUGAGGGCCGCAGAGAAUUGGCUCAUACGACUGUUUAUCAAAAGCACAGGUCUGUGCAAAGUCAAAACGACGACGUAUACAGACUGACGCCUGCCCAAUGCUGGAAGGUUAAAGGGAGGGGUUAGCCGCAAGGCGAAGCUCCGAACCCAAGCCCCAGUGAAUGGCGGCCGUAACUAUGACGGUCCUAAGGUAGCGAAAUUCCUUGUCGGGUAAGUUCCGACCCGCACGAAUGGUGUAACGAGAUGAGCACUGUCUCAACAGCAGAUCCGGCGAAAUUGCAAUCGCGGUGAAGAUACCGCGUUCCCGCAGUAGGACGAAAAGACCCCGUGAACCUUUACUGUAGUAUAGUACUGGGCCCUAACUUUGCAUGUGUAGGAUAGGUGGGACGCUUUGAAGCCGAAGCGCUAGCUUUGGUGGAGCGGUCGGUGAAAUACCACUCUUGCACCGUUGGGGUUCUAACCUGGUGCCGUUCUAUCGUGACUGGGAAGGUGGUGUUGGGAGGUGCGGAUCCGUUUGGACGUUCGGUUGUGACGUUGAGUGGCGGGGUUGUGGAGGUUGCGAGAGGAGUGACGGAUUUGAAGGUGAACAACCCGAUUCAGUUGAGUGGAGAGAACACGGUGACGAUGGGAGGGGAGACGAAGCUGACGUUGGGAGGACAGUUGUCCGGCGGAGGCGCGGUGGUGAAGGAGGGCGAAGGGAAACUGACGCUCACAAAUGGGACGAACAGCUAUAGUGGGGGCACAUUGGUGCGUGGCGGGGUGUUGGAAGUGACGAAUGGGGCGAGUGUUGGGAGUGGUCAGUUGGUGUUGGAUGGGGGUGCGCGCUUUGAGGUGAACCAGACGUUGAGUUUGGGCGUGCCGGUGGUGGUGAAGAGUGGGGAGGUGUAUGUGGGUGGUACGUUGGAGAAGAAGGAGGUGUUGACGUUGGAGAAGCCAGUGACGCAGGGAGUGUCGGAUGUGUUUGUGAAGACGGGGAUUGGGACGUUGGAAUUGAAGUCCUCGGAGAGUGCGUUGCGAGGGGUGACGAAGAUUGAGCAAGGGACGUUGGUGACGACGCAGGCGGCGGUGUUGGGGUCGAGUCGUGAGAUUGUGGUAGGGACGAGUGGGAGCGAAGGUGCGAAGUUGGAUGUG